rnacentral:rRNA from 1 species
UACGUAGGCAGCAAGCGUUGUUCGGAAUUACUGGGCGUAAAGAGUGUGUAGGCGGUGCUCUAAAGUUUGGUGUGAAAUCUCCCGGCUUAACCGGGGAGGCUGCAUCGAAUACUGGAAUGCUAGAGGGUGGGAGAGGUAAGCGGAAUUCCUGGUGUAGCGGUGAAAUGCGUAGAUAUCAGGAGGAACACCUGUGGUGUAGACAGCUUACUGGACCACUUCUGACGCUGAGACACGAAAGCGUGGGUAGCAAACAGG